rnacentral:rRNA from 1 species
UUGAACGCUGGCGGCGUAGCUUAACACAUGCAAGUCGAACGCGAAAGGGACUCGGUCCUGAGUAAAGUGGCGCACGGGUGAGUAACGCGUGGAUAAUCUGCCCUUAUGAUCGGGAUAACAGUUGGAAACGGCUGCUAAUACCGGAUACGCUCAAAAUGAACUUUUUGAGGAAAGAUGGCCUCUGCUUGCAUGCUAUCACGUAAGGAUGAGUCCGCGUCCCAUUAGCUUGUUGGCGGGGUAACGGCCCACCAAGGCAACGAUGGGUAGCCGAUUUGAGAGGAUGAUCGGCCACACUGGAACUGAAACACGGUCCAGACUCCUACGGGAGGCAGCAGUGGGGAAUAUUGCGCAAUGGGCGAAAGCCUGACGCAGCGACGCCGCGUGAGGGAUUGAAGGUUUUCGGAUCGUAAACCUCUGUCAGUAAGGGAAGAAACUACGUUGUGCUAAUCAGCAGCGUACUGACGGUACCUUCAAAGGAAGCACCGGCUAACUCCGUGCCAGCCGCUGC